rnacentral:rRNA from 1 species
UACGUAGGCAGCGAGCGUUGUUCGGAGUUACUGGGCGUAAAGGGCGCGUAGGCGGCGGGGUCAGUCGGGUGUGAAAUCUUGGGGCUUAACCCCGAAACGGCACUCGAAACUGCCCGGCUGGAGGGCCGGAGAGGAGAUCGGAAUUCACGGUGUAGCAGUGAAAUGCGUAGAGAUCGUGAGGAAGACCCGUGGCGAAGGCGGAUCUCUGGACGGCUAAAACUGACGCUGAGGCGCGAAGGCCAGGGGAGCAAACGGG